CAACUAACCAACCUACUGGGAGUUUAACUGGUUCAGCUGGAGUCACUCUGUCUGUCACAGAUUUGCAUGUGCAGGUGAGCACAUCAGUGAAGGGUGACUCUUAUAACCGGGCAGAGCUCAGGUGUCAGAGCAGUUGUCGUCUUCCUGAUCCUCUGAACUACGUCUGGUACAAGAAUCAACAGCAGAUGAAGGAAGGAGCAUCUUAUACAGAUACAUUUUAUCAUACAGACAGAGUUUCCUGUGCUGUUAAAGGACACGAGGAUUUCCGCUCUCCGUCAAUGUUGGUAAGGAGUCAGAUUGACUGGGGUGUGAGUUGCACUUCUACUGAGAUCUGUGCCAUCAGAGGAUCAACAGUGGACAUUACCUGUACUCACACAUACCCAUCCAUGUUGA